UCCCUGGUAGUAUAUCGGUUAGUACACGCGCCUGUCAUUUAUAUUCAGUGUUAGCUCAAACGUGCGAAAGCUGGGUUCGACUCCCAGCCAGGGAG
rnacentral:tRNA from 1 species